GAAUGUGCUGUUGUAAACGAACAGCCGGACACCAAGGACUCGACAUCAUCAUCAGCACCACUUUGAUCACCCUUGAUUUUUCCUUGCCAAAAAGGGCCACCCCAAGCAAGGAGGCGAAUGGUAAGGAAUGCCAGUGCCUGACCUCCACAAUCGCUGGACUCGAUCCGAUUUUCGCCGAGCAAGUCUCGUGGCGGGGUUGCUGCGGGGACGGAUAGCUAUAGCUAUCGGUACGGCUCGCGAAUUCCUUCGCCGACGGCUUCGAGCGGAAUCGAAAGUAGGUCGAAAGCAGGGCCUGGCAGGCUGAGAACGACACAAGCGGACGCACCUGCUGCAACAAACUGACAAGCUGCUCCGAGAGCUGCGCAAGCUGGACAACCAAAAGGGUCGCAAAAUGUACUAAAAGACGUUAUUCGCGUGACCGAUGGGUAAGAAGACACUCCGCAGUUCUUCCUUAACAACAUUGUACGGAGCGAAUACAACUGUGACUAGCGGCGGGACAUUCUGUCGGAGUUCGUGUUUUAUCCGCUCUUUUCCGGGUGACGGUGAACAACAAGACGGACGUGCCGUGGUUUGGCCCGUUGUCGGACAAAGUCGUCGUGAGCGGUACUUGUUUGGCAAGCUUGGUACGAGGGUCGCGCCGCGCGGACGUUCCUCUCGCUGUACUACGAGGAUCACAACAUUUUCGAGGACUUCAUGAUGCGCAUUUUUUGUCCCACUCUGCCGCAGGGUAC